GUACGUACUGGCAUUGUUGGUUUCUCCCUUCUGAUGAAUCAUGAUGUCAUUAAUUUGAUGUCAUGGGGAAUCAGGACUGUUACUUUGAAAAAAUUAGAGUGUUUAAAGCAGGCUCGCGCUUGAAUACAUUAGCAUGGAAUAAUGAAAUAGGACGUUUGAUUCUAUUUUGUUGGUUUCUAGGAUCGACGUAAUGAUUAAUAGGGAUAGUUGGGGGCAUUAGUAUUCAAUUGUCAGAGGUGAAAUUCUUGGAUUUAUUGAAGACUAACUACUGCGAAAGCAUUUGCCAAGGAUGUUUUCAUUAAUCAAGAACGAAAGUUAGGGGAUCGAAGACGAUCAGAUACCGUCGUAGUCUUAACCAUAAACUAUGCCGACUAGGGAUCGGAUGAUGUUAAUUUUUUAAUGACUCAUUCGGCGCCUUACG
rnacentral:rRNA from 1 species